rnacentral:rRNA from 1 species
AUGAACGCUAGCUACAGGCUUAACACAUGCAAGUCGAGGGGCAGCAUGGUCUUAGCUUGCUAAGGCCGAUGGCGACCGGCGCACGGGUGAGUAACACGUAUCCAACCUGCCGUCUACUCUUGGACAGCCUUCUGAAAGGAAGAUUAAUACAAGAUGGCAUCAUGAGUCCGCAUGUUCACAUGAUUAAAGGUAUUCCGGUAGACGAUGGGGAUGCGUUCCAUUAGAUAGUAGGCGGGGUAACGGCCCACCUAGUCUUCGAUGGAUAGGGGUUCUGAGAGGAAGGUCCCCCACAUUGGAACUGAGACACGGUCCAAACUCCUACGGGAGGCAGCAGUGAGGAAUAUUGGUCAAUGGGCGAGAGCCUGAACCAGCCAAGUAGCGUGAAGGAUGACUGCCCUAUGGGUUGUAAACUUCUUUUAUAAAGGAAUAAAGUCGGGUAUGUAUACCCGUUUGCAUGUACUUUAUGAAUAAGGAUCGGCUAACUCCGUGCCAGCAGCCGCGGUAAUACGGAGGAUCCGAGCGUUAUCCGGAUUUAUUGGGUUUAAAGGGAGCGUAGAUGGAUGUUUAAGUCAGUUGUGAAAGUUUGCGGCUCAACCGUAAAAUUGCAGUUGAUACUGGAUAUCUUGAGUGCAGUUGAGGCAGGCGGAAUUCGUGGUGUAGCGGUGAAAUGCUUAGAUAUCACGAAGAACUCCGAUUGCGAAGGCAGCCUGCUAAGCUGCAACUGACAUUGAGGCUCGAAAGUGUGGGUAUCAAACAGGAUUAGAUACCCUGGUAGUCCACACGGUAAACGAUGAAUACUCGCUGUUUGCGAUAUACUGCAAGCGGCCAAGCGAAAGCGUUAAGUAUUCCACCUGGGGAGUACGCCGGCAACGGUGAAACUCAAAGGAAUUGACGGGGGCCCGCACAAGCAGUGGAGUAUGUGGUUUAAUUCGACGCAACGCGAAGAACCUUACCAAGUCUUGACAUCCCUUGACGAUGCUGGAAACAGUAUUUCUCUUCGGAGCAUCUAUACAGGUGGUGCAUGGUUGUCGUCAGCUCGUGUCGUGAGAUGUUGGGUUAAGUCCCGCAACGAGCGCAACCCCUGUUUCUAGUUGCCAGCAUGUAAAGAUGGGAACUCUAGAAAGACUGCCGUAGAUAAUACGGAGGAAGGUGGGGAUGACGUCAAAUCAUCAUGCCCUUUAUGUCUUGGGCUACACACGUACUACAAUGGCGUUAAACAAAGAGAAGCAAGACCGCGAGGUGGAGCAAAACUCAAAAACAACGUCUCAGUUCAGAUUGCAGGCUGCAACUCGCCUGCAUGAAGUCGGAAUUGCUAGUAAUCGCGGAUCAGCAUGCCGCGGUGAAUACGUUCCCGGGCCUUGUACACACCGCCCGUCACACCAUGGGAGUCAGUAACGCCCGAAGUCAGUGACCCAACCGUAAGGAGGGAGCUGCCGAAGGCGGGACCGAUAACUGGGGUG